UAAUCUCAAAUACGUAUUACAUUUAUUUUAGAGGAUAUGUAUACACAUAUAAAUACAUAAAGGUUUAUAAUAAAAUUACUUCGAGUUGAUUUCACACGUUGAAGUUUCAAUAGCAUUAAAUCUCUAUUAAAUAAUUUUCACAGACAAUAACGUGUAACGUACGGUAACGAUUUUACCGACAGUACCGACGGUAAAAUAGAUCUUGUCAAAACGAUUACGUAUUUAGUUUUUUUUUUCUUUCUUUGUCGUAAAGUAGGCCCACAAAUAUGACAUAUAACAUCCGAAAAGGAAUUUUUUUUUUUUUUUGUUAUUUCUUAACGUUACAAUUAUUAAUGGUGUUUUGUACGUGGCAGAUAAUAGAAAAUGUUUACUACUUAUAUAAUAGAAUAAUAACGAGCGUGUAUGUGUGUGUCUAACGAUAAGUAAAUAACCUACCGUUAUAAAAUCAUUCAGUAUGAAAGUGUAAGAAGAAACAUAUCGAGAAGAAGAUCUGACGAAGCUGAAUCAAAAAUAAUUGCAGCCAACCUGGAAUCCAGCCAGUCUGAGAAAGACGAUAGCAGGACAAGCUGGAGGGGGUGCAGCUCGUAGUAACUCGGCACCAGCAUCGUCACGACGUCCUAAUCUCGCAAGAGGACCUUCGUGGACUGCCAGGUGGAGGCGAGCAUUACAUAGACUCAAUUCCCUCACGUCCAACCCUCAAGACUGAGAAGCUUUAAAGUUGUAUUCCUAGCUAGUGCUUGGCAGAGAAGUCUAGAUGGAUGAUCAUCAAGGGCUAGUCUUGGACUAGCUAGAUCCAGAAGUUGAAGACAAGGUGCCUCUGUCAAGGCCAGGACGAGAGGCAUCACAUCAGCUGGUUUCGAAGCACCGGCAGCUCUAAGAGCAUCUAAGUGUCGUGCUUUUCUUAUCGUUUCUCCUAAACAGCCAGCAUCUAAACCACCCAAAAGACACUUGGACACGUUCAAUGAUCUCAGCUUACAGCUUGGCUCUCUCAUUGAAGAUCUCAUGAAAUCCGGUACCCUGAUGACUGCUGACAUCACAGGUUGGUAAAGGAUGCAUAAGAGGUGGUCGAUGACAAAGUACACUGUCACUAUUUCGCUUGCUACUGCCGUUACUAUCGUUUUGUGGCAAAGGUCCGUUUCCGGUAGCAGUGCCAUUUUCGUUUCCUGUUGAAGUAGCAGCAGUAGUAGUAGAACCGGUAGGUCCAGUAGUACUACCAGUACUAUGUCCAUGUCCAUGAGCGGUCGUUGGACUAAGACCAAGGCCGAGACCCAAUCCAAAAGGUAAUCUUGGUAAGGUUGCUGGCCUGGUUAAACUUCCAUAAGCUGCCAAAGCACCACGCGGUAAAGAAGAGUAGCAACGAUUUAAGGGAAGUGUGCCGAGGAUGCUUGAGGCGUAUCCACUACUACCAGAUCCGGAACCUGAACCUAAAAAAAAGGAUCUUCGUUCUUAGAGCCCCAACUUCCGGCUAGAUUGAGAGCAAGAAGGGGUCUCUCCUUGAGCAAUUCAGCAACGGAGGCAAGACCCUCUG